UUGGUAGUUACAGCUGAUGUAGAGCCUUCCGCUGCUAAUUUUGCGCUCCCGGAGAACGAGCAACUCUCUUUGCACGUUUGAGAGAACUUGACGAUACGCGCAGCGUAGGGAUGCGUCCGUUCCUUAACGCCGUGUCUUCCCCCAGCUCGCAGCUGAAGGGUGUUUUUGAGGGCUCAUUCUUUACCGCAGGUUUGUGGCCAGCCUGUCUGGAGAAGGAGGAGUCGCCUUCGUAUCCCUCUGAACCGCCUGUUGCCGCGGCUCUGCCAUUUUGUCUGCGCACCGCUCUGCAGGGAACGGCUUUGGGUCUUCUAGCCGAUCUCGCCAUGUUCAGCAAGAAGAAGAAACGCAUCGAGAUCUCCGCUCCCUCCAACUUCGAGCACCGCGUCCACACCGGCUACGACCAGCAGGAGCAGAAGUUCACCGGGCUGCCGCGGCCAUAAAAACCCCCGUUGCCAUCCCCGCCAUCCAGCACGGCUCGCAGAAGGUAGGCGGCUUCGCGGGGGCUGGCGGGGUUGGGGGGCUCCUGCUCUCUGCCCUCCUCUUGAGCGUGGAGGCGCCUGCUCCCCGUGAUUUAUUCGGUCCUCCU
rnacentral:lncRNA from 1 species